rnacentral:SRP_RNA from 1 species
GCUGGGUGUGAUGGCUCACACCUGUAAUCCCAACACUUUGGGAGGUUGAGGCUGGUGGAUCACUUGAGGCCAGGAGUCCAAGACCAGCCUGGCCAACAUAGUGAAACCCUGUCUCUA